ensembl:lncRNA
AUGUUUUUUUUUGAAGCCAUUCCUCCAACCCUGUGCAUAAUUAAAGGGGAAUGUAGAUAUUGCAUCCAUGAGCAAGCAUGCAUUUUGCCAACUGUGAAGGUGCCAGACUGCUCCUGUGAAGACGCAAACUUCACUGUGUUACCUGGCAAACCAGUGAUUUUAAUCACCAUCAAUGGGUGUUUUGACUUGCAUCGGCCACUAUGUAAAUGUCAAACAUGCCAGCAGCAUUGGACUCCUGAUUCGAAAGACCACCUUAGGAGUGUAUAUUGGCCAGCCUCUGUCAGCAAUUCAAUGCAGUAUACACUGGACCUCCUGAACUCCUUUCAGGAACUCAAGGUCAUCGCUCCAGGAUUCUCCAGACAAGCCUUCGCAAAGCUCCUGGAGCAUCGCACUAAGACUGGAGGAAGAUCUGGACAUUUCAACAGCGAUGCUCUGCAGCGGCGCUUCUUCUUUUGA